rnacentral:rRNA from 1 species
CCUACGGGUGGCAGCAGUGGGGAAUAUUGCACAAUGGGGGGAACCCUGAUGCAGCGACGCCGCGUGAGUGAAGAAGUAUUUCGGUAUGUAAAGCUCUAUCAGCAGGGAAGAAAAUGACGGUACCUGAGUAAGAGGCCCCGGCUAACUACGUGCCAGCAGCCGCGGUAAUACGUAGGGGGCAAGCGUUAUCCGGAUUUACUGGGUGUAAAGGGAGCGUAGACGGCAGUGCAAGUCUGGAGUGAAAGGUGGGGGCUCAACCCCCGGACUGCUCUGGAAACUGUACGGCUGGAGUGCAGGAGAGGUAAGUGGAAUUCCUAGUGUAGCGGUGAAAUGCGUAGAUAUUAGGAGGAACACCAGUGGCGAAGGCGGCUUACUGGACUGUAACUGACGUUGAGGCUCGAAAGCGUGGGGAGCAAACAGGAUUAGAUACCCGAGUAGUC